CAGCCGCCACGGUAAUACGGAGGGUGCAAGCGUUAAUCGGAAUUACUGGGCGUAAAGCGUGCGUAGGCGGUUCGUUAAGUCUGUUGUGAAAGCCCCGGGCUCAACCUGGGAAUGGCAAUGGAUACUGGCGAGCUAGAGUGUGUCAGAGGAUGGUGGAAUUCCCGGUGUAGCGGUGAAAUGCGUAGAGAUCGGGAGGAACAUCAGUGGCGAAGGCGGCCAUCUGGGACAACACUGACGCUGAGACACGAAAGCGUGGGGAGCAAACAGGAUUAGAUACCCCGGUAGUCCCUGUCUCUUAUAC
rnacentral:rRNA from 1 species